AGAGUUUGAUCAUGGCUCAGAUUGAACGCUGGCGGCAGGCCUAACACAUGCAAGUCGAGCGGUAGCACAGAGAGCUUGCUCUCGGGUGACGAGCGGCGGACGGGUGAGUAAUGUCUGGGAAACUGCCUGAUGGAGGGGGAUAACUACUGGAAACGGUAGCUAAUACCGCAUAACGUCGCAAGACCAAAGUGGGGGACCUUCGGGCCUCAUGCCAUCAGAUGUGCCCAGAUGGGAUUAGCUAGUAGGUGGGGUAACGGCUCACCUAGGCGACGAUCCCUAGCUGGUCUGAGAGGAUGACCAGCCACACUGGAACUGAGACACGGUCCAGACUCCUACGGGAGGCAGCAGUGGGGAAUAUUGCACAAUGGGCGCAAGCCUGAUGCAGCCAUGCCGCGUGUGUGAAGAAGGCCUUCGGGUUGUAAAGCACUUUCAGCGGGGAGGAAGGCGUUGAGGUUAAUAACCUCAUCGAUUGACGUUACCCGCAGAAGAAGCACCGGCUAACUCCGUGCCAGCAGCCGCGGUAAUACGGAGGGUGCAAGCGUUAAUCGGAAUUACUGGGCGUAAAGCGCACGCAGGCGGUCUGUCAAGUCGGAUGUGAAAUCCCCGGGCUCAACCUGGGAACUGCAUUCGAAACUGGCAGGCUAGAGUCUUGUAGAGGGGGGUAGAAUUCCAGGUGUAGCGGUGAAAUGCGUAGAGAUCUGGAGGAAUACCGGUGGCGAAGGCGGCCCCCUGGACAAAGACUGACGCUCAGGUGCGAAAGCGUGGGGAGCAAACAGGAUUAGAUACCCUGGUAGUCCACGCCGUAAACGAUGUCGAUUUGGAGGUUGUGCCCUUGAGGCGUGGCUUCCGGAGCUAACGCGUUAAAUCGACCGCCUGGGGAGUACGGCCGCAAGGUUAAAACUCAAAUGAAUUGACGGGGGCCCGCACAAGCGGUGGAGCAUGUGGUUUAAUUCGAUGCAACGCGAAGAACCUUACCUGGUCUUGACAUCCACAGAACUUAGCAGAGAUGCUUUGGUGCCUUCGGGAACUGUGAGACAGGUGCUGCAUGGCUGUCGUCAGCUCGUGUUGUGAAAUGUUGGGUUAAGUCCCGCAACGAGCGCAACCCUUAUCCUUUGUUGCCAGCGGUCCGGCCGGGAACUCAAAGGAGACUGCCAGUGAUAAACUGGAGGAAGGUGGGGAUGACGUCAAGUCAUCAUGGCCCUUACGACCAGGGCUACACACGUGCUACAAUGGCAUAUACAAAGAGAAGCGACCUCGCGAGAGCAAGCGGACCUCAUAAAGUAUGUCGUAGUCCGGAUUGGAGUCUGCAACUCGACUCCAUGAAGUCGGAAUCGCUAGUAAUCGUAGAUCAGAAUGCUACGGUGAAUACGUUCCCGGGCCUUGUACACACCGCCCGUCACACCAUGGGAGUGGGUUGCAAAAGAAGUAGGUAGCUUAACCUUCGGGAGGGCGCUUACCACUUUGUGAUUCAUGACUGGGGUGAAGUCGUAACAAGGUAACCGUAGGGGAACCUGCGGUUGGAUCACCU
rnacentral:rRNA from 1 species